GUGCCAGCCGCCGCGGUAAUACAGAGGUGGCAAGCGUUGUUCGGAAUUACUGGGCGUAAAGGGCGCGUAGGCGGCCUUCUUAGUCAGACGUGAAAUCCCUAGGCUUAACCUAGGAACUGCGUCUGAUACUGGAAGGCUCGAGUUCGGGAGAGGAAUGUGGAAUUCCAGGUGUAGCGGUGAAAUGCGUAGAUAUCUGGAGGAACACCGGUGGCGAAGGCGGCAUUCUGGACCGAAACUGACGCUGAGGCGCGAAAGCCAGGGGAGCAAACGGGAUUAGAAACCCCCGUAGUCC
rnacentral:rRNA from 1 species